UGUGGCCAAUGCACCUAUUGUGUCCCUGCUGCAGAAAGGAGCCUGCCGAUUGGCCACUGUCUGCAGCACAUAGCACUGGCUGGUUAUAAAGGACUUGUCUAGGGGAGAGCCUGUAGGUACUCCAUUGUCUGGUAAAGUUCAUAUGACUGCAUUCUUUUUUGCAAGGGGGGUGGAGGGAGAGUGGCGAAGGAGGGGGUGUCAGCUCAACUGUAAAAGCUGCACAGAUUUUUUUCUUUCUCUCUCUCUCUCUGCCUCUCCAUAGAUCGUUUCUGUUUCAUGCCCUGUCUCAUUUUGCAUAGCUAAAAAAGAAUGCUAAUUAAGAUCCCUUGUCUUAACCUGAAAAAUAAUGACUUGGCUGUAAUUAGAAAUCUGGUGAGAGUUUAAAAUUCUGGUACGGGACCAAAAACAUCAGUUACGGUACUUAGGAAGAAAAUGAAGAAUUAUUUUUUUGUAAUCAAGGUAAACAUGGGAGAGGGGGGUUCCCCCCAUCUUUUUAACCAAUUUUAAUCAGUGGUGUUCUAUCGCAGAUGAGAAGAUACUGUAUUUCAAAAACUAUUUUAACCAUCAAAUUGAAGGAACACAAAUCAGUAGCAUUAGAAGCCUUCUUAAUCCUCCUUAGGAUGCAAUUCAGAUGAAAGAACUGCUUUUUUUUUUUCUAUUUUUCUUUUUAUAUGUGUGUGUUAUAGAUGGAUCUGAGAACGCUGUCUGGGCUUGGUGCCAAGGGCUGGUAUUUCACAGCAGCGACCGCCUCACAGACGAGCUGUGGGAAGCAGGAGGGAGACUCUCUCUUAGGGUGCCACUACUAUGGAGACACAGCUGGGCUGAACAAGAUUUGCUUCAAACAACAACAAGAGAGACAGAAAGUAUCUGGUUCAACCGCUGCCUGAGCAGGCAGGCACCAGAAGAGCUAGCAGCCAAUCCGGCCAUGCUCGAAGCCAGCUCUGCAGCUCAGCCAAUCAGUGACAUCACUGAGAUGCCCUGUUCAGAGAGGAGGAAACUAGAGAAACAGUCCGGCUACAGCCACUUUGCUGAGCUGUGGUGGGCUCCACCCAGCUGGAACGUCCAGCAGGCUUUGUUUACAGUGUGAAGAGAAAAUUGCCUUCUCAAGCCUGAGUAAUGGCGGACUCCCCUCCCUCUGCUAAGCUUCCGCGGCUUCCGGGAGGUUUUGUUUACACUAUGAAGGGAAAAUUGCCUUCUCCUGACUCAGUAAUGGUGGACGCUCCUCCCUCCGCCAAGCCCGAGCAUGCCACGUCAACUUCCGACUGCUGUGCUGGCAGCGAGAAUUUCAAGACAGUGGAUCUUAGCUUGUUGGGCUCUGUGGGGUUGUGAUCCGCUGAGCUGGACCACUUGGCUCCCUGGCUUCAGUCCGCUUUCAGGUGAGUGAAGGGUUUUGUCUCGCUGGCGUUCCAGGCGCCACUCUGGUAUACAAGAAAACUGCAGCUAGCUCAGCGUCUGCCCAAACAGCCACCCAGUUUUGUGCCUGAAACCCACGGUCCUGGUGUUGUUGGCACCCGAGGGAAUCUCCUGGUCUGUGGGUUGCGAAGAUUAUGGGAAAAGCGUAGUAUCUGGGCCAGAAUAUAGAGUUUCUCACGGGAGAGUUUUCAAGGCUUCCCUUGGCUAGGGGAGGGAAUUUCGGGACCCCUUGCGCUUCCAGGGUGAGGUGAUGCCUCAGCCUGCUUUGGCUCACCCUCUGUGGGCUAUACCCACCGUCUAACGAGUCCCAGUGAGAUGAACUGGUUGAAAAUGCAGAAAUCACCCAUCUUCUGCAUUGAUCUCGCUGGGAGCUGCAGGCUGGAGCUAUUCCUAUUCAGCCAUCUUGCCAGCCCUCUGGUGUUCAAAUGAGGUAAUUUGGACUGACAAAGUGUGUUGAGAAGUAUUUUCUAUUUUUUGGAAGCAUGUAUGCAAAAUUGAUAUUAUUUCUUCUUUAUAUGCUUAGUAGAAUUUACCAGUGUCAUACAGGCAUGGAGCUUUCUUAUGAAGAGAAUAUAUCAUGAAUUCAAUUUGUUUAGUCAUUAUCUUUGUUGAGGAAUCUUCUGUCAGUUUAUAUAUUUCAAGGAGUUAGCCCGUUACAUUCAAGAUGUUGAUAAGUGUAUAAUAUGCUCAUAUUACCUUUUAAUCAUUUUUAAUGUCUGUAAAAAAUUGUAUUUGUAUGAAUUUUUUCAUAAUUGAUAUUGGUUAUUUACAUGUUUUCUUUAUUUCCUAAUUAGUCCAAUUUAUGGCUUAGCAAG
ensembl:lncRNA